AUGGUAUUAAUGACUAUGACUUGAACAAUAUAUUUCCAAUAGAGUGUCAUGAAGCACUACAAGAAUUUGAACUGAAACUUCAAAAAAAUGAAAACAACUUUAAAACUAUUAUGGUACGCAAAUUGUCAUUGCUCAUUACUAAUAAAAGUGUAGGUGACUCACUGAGGCGUGUUAUGUCCAGAAUGUUUGAUGACAAAGUUCUUGAGGAUUAUUCAACUUAUGGUUUCAAAAAAAAAUUGAGGUUUUCUUCAUUAUAUUCUUAUCGGCUUCUUAUUGAUAUAUUGAGGACCAAUAUCAAAUACAAAACGGUACCAGAAAAAGACGUUGAUAAUGAUAU